GCCGGCGACCGGCGCACGGGUGCGUAACGCGUAUACAAUUUGCCUUAUACAGGGAGAUAGCCCGGAGAAAUUCGGAUUAAUAUCCCAUAACACUGCGCUAUGGCAUCAUAGUGCAUUUAAAGCUACGGCGGUAUAAGAUGAGUAUGCGUCUGAUUAGCUAGUUGGUGAGGUAACGGCUCACCAAGGCGACGAUCAGUAGGGGGCCUGAGAGGGUUAUCCCCCACACUGGAACUGAGACACGGUCCAGACUCCUACGGGAGGCAGCAGUGAGGAAUAUUGGUCAAUGGAGGCAACUCUGAACCAGCCAUGCCGCGUGUAGGAAGAAUGCCCUAUGGGUUGUAAACUACUUUUAUUGGGGAAGAAACCCUCUUACGUGUAAGAGGCUGACGGUACCCAAGGAAUAAGGACCGGCUAACUCCGUGCCAGCAGCCGCGGUAAUACGGAGGGUCCAAGCGUUAUCCGGAAUCAUUGGGUUUAAAGGGUGCGCAGGCGGCUUUGUAAGUCAGUGGU
rnacentral:rRNA from 1 species